rnacentral:rRNA from 1 species
UACAGAGGUCUCAAGCGUUGUUCGGAUUCAUUGGGCGUAAAGGGUGCGUAGGCGGCGCGGUAAGUCGGGUGUGAAAUCUCGGGGCUUAACUCCGAAACUGCAUUCGAUACUGCCGUGCUUGAGGACUGGAGAGGAGACUGGAAUUUACGGUGUAGCGGUGAAAUGCGUAGAUAUCGUAAGGAAGACCAGUGGCGAAGGCGGGGUCUCUGGACAGUUCCUGACGCUGAGGCACGAAGGCCAGGGGGAGCAAACGGG